GACGACUGAAUGGUAUUUCUUUCAAUGACACGUUAGAAUUAAUCUGCGCUGAGGUAACGUUCGCCAAGAUGUCGAUCAAGUUCAACUGACAACUGAAUUUGAGUUGGCUUAGCGGUCCUCGUCUCUCUCUGUUUUUUUCUUUUUCUUUUUUCACAUUUGAUAAAGAUAUUAAAGUAGUUUUUAAUUUUUUCUUGUUGUUAAAAUUCAAAAUAGUUUUUAAAUAUUAUUGGAUGUCACCGUUCCCACCAAUCCUUGCACAAGUUAAGGUUAAGCAUGAUGACGAAAGCACGUUAGUGCUAGCCCUCCCAGAACUCAUAGAGAUUGCAUUGCAGUGCCUGCAGUUCGAAAAAAAAAAGAUCUUUUUUUUGUAAGAUUUUAU